GGGAAGGGCAGAUGGGAUAAGAUUUAGUAAAAAGUAAGCUAAUUGAAUGAAGAAUGCUUGAUGAAGAUGGCUGAAACUGUGAUUUCACUACUUCGUAAAUAAAGUCACACAGUCCGAUAGUUGGCCAGAAAGACAUAUACACUCCCAUAAUACAAAGACACGAGCCAGAUGCAUCCUAUAAUUGGGAAAUCGUAAUAAAAAACAUGUAACAAAGUACCUCUGUUUAAUUAUUGAAAAAGAUUUAUUCCUAUUACUAAGGUACGCAUUUUGUUGUGGUAUACGCGUCUUUGUUUGUUUACAUUUUGGUGGUGUGUUUACUUUCUCACUGCCCGCAUCUAAAAAUAUUAUCCGUUACCAUUGAGGGGGUUGGUCGGUGUGGUAACGGUUACCCUUCUCAGCCUCCUCCAAAAAUUGCCAUGACGUGAAGAGACAGUUUUCCAGUAUAUAUAUGGAAGGCUGCUCCAUGGGAGGUUCAGUUUUAACCAUACACUAAGUACU